rnacentral:lncRNA from 1 species
GUUUGGGGACAUUUUGUGACCAUACUGCGGGAGAGACACGGCUUAGGACUGAAGUUGACAUAAAAGGCAAAGAACAGGGACAGAAAUGCUCUGUGGCUUUUGAUGAGGUAAUUUAAGUGAGAGAUCAAACCAAGCUUACAAAAAAAAAAAUCACUGCACUUCUAGAGUUUCUAAUUGUGUAUUUGUUAUUUAUGGCAAACUUAUCUGUGUAUUUUAUGAAGUGUCAUGAACUCAGUUUUUUUCCAGAACUAUGCUAGACUAUGUAUUAAUAGAUGUCCUAUCAGAAACAAGAAAGAUAACAAUUAGGCUUCACAGAAGCUUUGCUCAGUGGUAAUGACCACUUCUUGAUUUUGUAAAUGACCUAAGUUUGUUCUCAACAUAUUCGGUGUGUCACUCCAGCUUUGGGGAUCCAAAACCCUCUUCUGGCCUCUGUGGGGCACCUGCACAUAUAUGGCAUUCACACACGCACGCACAAAUACACCUAAAAUAAUAAUUAUAAGUCUUGAAACUAUAAUAAGGGUAUCAGAAAACAAAUGGUUUCAAAAUACCUUUUCAAGUUGUAACUGAGCCAGCAGGGACACUGACAUUGGGGGCACAAGAAGGAAGUGUGAGUUCCUGAAGAUUAGCUGAGCCCUCGAGCUGGCAUUAUCCUGAGGUGUUCGCCAAUGAUUGUGGCUUCAGGUUUGAGCUAUAAUUGGCUUUGUGUGACGAACAGAUGCCAAGGCCAGGAAUCAGAAUAGAGAAGAAAGUAGGAUCUAGAAUAGGUGAAACAAGGUCCACUUGAAGCAGGCUGUCCCCACGGGGGGCCCCACAGAAAAUGUGAUCCACAGAAAAAAAGACAACCAGCUAUCCUCCUCCAUGGAAGUAAAGAAAAAUUCCUUCAAGCUCUGUUAAGCACACACUAUAUGCCUAUGGACUUCCUACUGAAAUGCACAUUGCCUGGAAAUGCCAAAUUAGAAAUUGAAGUUUUGUUUUAGUUUGUUUCUUUUUAUAGUUCUUGGGAUUGUACCCAAGUCCCUGCACAAGCCAGAUAAGUGACCUAGGCUCCCAGAAACUGAGUUUAGACAGAUCCCAGGUUAGUAAUGACCUAAGUAUGGUGGUUCAUGAAGAAAUGCACUUUAAACAUGGGCUUUGAAAUAAUUCUCAUAAAUGUAUGAAUUGACAGUAAAAAAAAAAUUGCUUAACACACAUGAAAAUAAAGCAACCAGGAACAGAAGUCAGGCUUCUUUGUAUCUCUGUAGAAGUCAUUGUAUAUUAAUAAAGACAAGACACUGCCACCUCUUUGGCAGAUAGCCAAAUACCUGCAGAAAAACUUAAAAAUAGAAAAUACUUACACGAGAACUCAGCAAAACUCAAACACCAGAAAGAGAAGAGCAGCAUAGAUCUUGAAAAUAUAGGAGUAAAAUAGCAAAAACAAACAAAAGCCCCACAUACUUUUGGACUGACAAAAACAUCAGUGGUUCUGCGAGACGGAUUGGCUUUGGGGUUGAGGAUAAGUAAGAUUAAGUAAAAAAAAACAAAGAGAAUGCAAAAACAGAUAUGGUAAGAGUGGAAGAGGGCACAACUGAUAAAUAGGCAGAGAUAAAAAAUGGCCAAGGAAUUUAUAAGUUAUACAUCUAUAACAUAUAUGUGUGUUAUAUAUACAUAUACCAUAUACAUAUGAUAAGUAAGUUUAACUCAUUUGGAAAGUUUGCCAAGGUGAACAAAAUAUUUAAACCUUUCCCAAAUGGACUCAAAAUUGGCCAUGAAGCAGCAAGCACAGUACCUCAUAGUUCACCUUCCAGGAACAAUGGAACCUGAUGGCUUCCCAGGAGGGUUCAAGACACAGUCCAAGAAAGAGAACUCCAAACCUGAAAUAUCACUAGCAGAAAAGAAAACCCUGACACAUGAGUUGUUUAUCUAAUCUCAUUUGCUGUCAGAGUCAAGACGAGGAAAAGAUAGGGACAAAGCCAACACAAUCAUUAAACAGAUAGAUGAUAGAUGAUAGAUAGAUAGAUAGAUAGAUAGAUGAUAGAUAGAUAGGAAGAAAAGAAAGAGAGAGAGAGGAAGAGAGAGAAAGAAAGGAAGGAAGGAAGGAAGGGAGGAAGGAAGGAAGGAAGAAAGAAAGGAAGAAAGGAAGAAAGAAAGAAAAUUAGGAGACUGGAGACAAUGCUCAGUCAGUAAGGUGCCACGGAUCAGUCAGAAGGACUGUAGUUCGAUCUCGGACACCCAUGUAAAGGAGGUGUGCAUAUAGACACCCGAGUGUAAUCCCAGUGGUGGGAAUACUGAGAGGAGGCCUCCUGGGCUUGCUGGUAAGCCAGGCCAGCUCAGUCAGUGAGCUUCAGGUUCAGUGGAGCAGGAUGAUAUGAUUCAAGUGGCGGGAAACUGAGGAAGUGACCUAAAGUCAACCUCUAGCCUCCCCACACACGUGCACAUACAAGCAUGGCAUGGUAUUCACAUAUGCCAAACAUAAACACGUGCACAGCCGUACCAAGAGCUAAUUAAGCUCAUCUAUAUAGAGAAAGGCAGUGGACUGCCAUAAAGUAGGAUCUAUUCUAGAUAUAGAAAUCAAUUUAAUGUUAGAAAUCUGUCAUACAUCAGUAUGUAAAAGAAGGGAACAUAAUUUCAGUAUGCUACAGAAUAGAAGCCGUUGAUAACAUUUAGUAGUCAUUUUAGAGGCAAGUUCUCAGGGAACGAGUUACUAGCAAGAAUUUCUUUGACCAAAAUAAAUGUGAAAAGAAUUUAUAUCUUAUAUUUUAUUUGGUAAGUUUUUCUAAUAACCCCUGAUAUAGCCACUUAUGCUCAACUCUGGAAUUAUUACAGUAUAAGGAAAAAGGUGGGAGCUCUGAGGAUUAGAAAGUUGUUUAUUAUUAUUAUUAUUAUGAGAUAAUCAUGGAAAAGUUGAAGGAAUUCUUCUCAGUGUAGAGACACUAGAAUCGGGCUAGCAAUGCUUUAGCAAGGUCACCAGCUACAAGAUUAGUAGGUAAUAGUAACAUUUUUGUAAAAUAUCAACAAGUAGCUAGAAAAUUAAAAUAUUUAAAUAUGCUAUUCAUCUAUGUAAAAGUGAAAAACAGACAAACAAAAAAGGGAACUUUUUGCUUUAAGUUCAUUUUGAACCUAUUCUUUAACAUAAGUCAAACAGAAAUAUUAGUUAUCAUCUGAGUGGAGUUUCAGAAGAGAAAAAAAGGUAAAAGAAAAAAAAAAGAGGUCCUUUAAAAGCAAGUCUUCAGCUGGUCAUUGGUUUUGACCCAUCUGGCCCUCACUUCUAAAUGACAAGGUCCACAGCCUUAGACCUAAGCUGAUUAAUGAGUUUCUAGCUCUGCCUCUUGCCACAGACCAUACACACCCAUUACCAAUGAGCAAUAGAUUCCGGUAACCCCCUCCUGUCUACCAGAGUCCUCUCCCUGUAACCCAGAAUGUUUGCACGUCCCACCCGCGCUUUGCCCAGCUCCUCACUGUCCUUGGACUUCCCUGGAGAACGUAGAAGUAAGUGCGUGGGGUAAACUUAUCAUUUACAGUUUUUCUUUAUUUAUAAUAUUGUUGUAAAUAAGUGUGUGUGUGUGUUGCCCAGGAAACAUGUGGGGAGGUCAGAGGACAAUUUUAGGGAUUCCACUCUUCCCACCACGAGUUUGGGGGUUAGAAAUCACAAGGUUAGAUAGAAUUGCUCAGCAAGCCCCUGUACCCGCUGAGCCUUCCUUCUCACAAGCCCCAGUUAACUAGUUUUUUUCCAGACCUCUGCUCCGACUUUCCAAAAGCUUAUAAUGUCUGCGGGAAAUAGGGGUCUCACAGGGAACUCAGGUCCUCACGGGAAAAUCAGGUAAAUCAAAUACUCAUUUGGUAACCACAGGCAAACUAUGCGCUUUUAGCAGCAGGGCAGACAGUUCUGAUGAACGCUAACCAGUAGACGGUAACCACAGUGAUUGGCAGAGCUUGGACGCCAAGUCUAACCUGCUCUGAGGUAUUUAUUACCAGUGAGCUAGAGUCAAGGGUAAUAAGUGACUUCAAGGAGAUGUUAAAAUUUUGUUUUGGGGUGCCGAUUAAAUAUGACCUUUCUCUCAGAAGUAGGGUAAGGGAGUCUGAGGUGCCCUAGUCUUAGGACGUCGGUGCGCUUGCAUGUGAAUUCGAUAGGCAUGACCACAGGGAUAGUCAAUUUCCUUUAUGUCCUGUACCUGAGAAGAAAUGGAAGCAGCAACCUGCCUUUCGGAUUAUCUUUUCACAGCUGAUGUGCACUGUUGGCUCCUGUUGUGCUGCACAGGCCUCCGUACAAACGGAACUCAAGAGCAUACACCACUCAUCUCUGCUAGUGGAUCACCUCUGAACGCUGUCUGCGCUGGGCUGAGGAUGCUCAUUACUGAAGUUCAAGGUUCUUACUGAUGUCACUGGAAAAUUUGUCUCUGCUCUGAGAAAUCACAGGGGUUAGUCUUUGUGACUCGUGAGGUGACUACACUAACACCUGGUGUUGAUAAGAUGGCAUGAAAACAGCCAGCUCUGGAAGUCGUGCGGAGUGAUGGCUCAGAAGUGAAUAGUGCUUGCUGCUCUUUCCAAGGACCCGAGAUGGGUUACCAGCACCCAUGUUCUCCAGAUCACAGUCUUCGCUAACUCCAGCUCCAGGGCUUCUAACCCCCUCUUCUGGCCUCCAUGGUACCUUUACUCAUGUGCCUGACAUCCUCCCACACAUACUUAAUGAAAAAUUAGAAUUAAAUCUUUAAUAAUAAUAAUAAAGAGUCCCGGA